GACGAACGCUGGCGGCGUGCUUAACACAUGCAAGUCGAACGGAAAGGCCCUGCUUGCAGGGUACUCGAGUGGCGAACGGGUGAGUAACACGUGGGUGAUCUGCCCUGCACUUCGGGAUAAGCCUGGGAAACUGGGUCUAAUACCGGAUAUGACCUUCCAUGUAGUGUGGGGGGUGGAAAGAUUUAUCGGUGUGGGAUGAGCCCGCGGCCUAUCAGCUUGUUGGUGGGGUAAUGGCCUACCAAGGCGUCGACGGGCAGCCGGCCUGAGAGGGUGGACGGCCACAUUGGGACUGAGAUACGGCCCAGACUCCUACGGGAGGCAGCAGUGGGGAAUAUUGCACAAUGGGCGGAAGCCUUAUGCAGCGACGCCGCGUGGGGGAUGACGGCCUUCGGGUUGUAAACCUCUUUCGACAGGGACGAAGCUUCGGUGACGGUACCUGUAUAAGAAGCACCGGCUAACUACGUG
rnacentral:rRNA from 1 species